UUUGCUGGAACUCAGCCACCUCCUUCAUUUACACAUUCUUUAUGGCUGCUUUCAUGUGAGCGUGGCAGAAUUGGGCAGUUGCCGCAGAGACCAUAUGACCUGCAAAAUGUAAAAUAUUUACUGUCUGGCACUUUAUGGAAAAAGUUUGGUGACUCCUGUCCAACAGCACACAGUUUAAAUUUUAUAACAGGCAUCCAAAGGCCUAAAGAUGUACCCUGAGCUAACUCUGGCAUCCCUGCCAUUCUCUCCCGGCAUCCCUGCACCCACCCAGAGGCUGAUCAGUCACAGGGGCUACUCUGAAUGUGGUAGGAGGCGGGAGUCACUCUGGGAAGUGUUUGACCGAAACUGACAGGAGUGGGGUGAAGGAAAGUUGGCUUUAGACAUUAAAACAGGAAGAAUAAAGACCAGAAAAGGGUGUGAAAGUAACUCCACUGGAAGGCCUGGGGCUGCUGCACCAGUUGGUAGUGAUGUUAUUAUCCCAGAGUCCAAUCAGACUUAGUACAUGGCCAUUUACAGAAACGCUUCAGGUAAAAAAGGGAAGAAGG
rnacentral:sRNA from 1 species